rnacentral:rRNA from 1 species
ACGAACGCUGGCGGCGUGCUUAACACAUGCAAGUCGAACGGAAAGGCCCUGCUUGCAGGGUACUCGAGUGGCGAACGGGUGAGUAACACGUGGGUGAUCUGCCCUGCACUUCGGGAUAAGCUUGGGAAACUGGGUCUAAUACCGGAUAGGAACCAUCUUUAGUGUGGUGGUUGGAAAGUUUUUUCGGUGUAGGAUGAGCUCGCGGCCUCAGCUUGUGGGUGGGGGGUUGGCCUACCAAGGGGGCGACGGGUAGCCGGCCUGAGAGGGUGUACGGCCACAUUGGGACUGAGAUACGGCCCAGACUCCUACGGGAGGCAGCAGUGGGGAAUAUUGCACAAUGGGCGCAAGCCUGAUGCAGCGACGCCGCGUGGGGGAUGAAGGCCUUCGGGUUGUAAACUCCUUUCGCUAGGGACGAAGCUUUGUUGUGACGGUACCUAGAUAAGAAGCACCGGCUAACUACGUG